CCGCACUAGUUGGGGAGAUAGCGGUGCCCUGUACCUGCAACCCGCUACAGCAGGGAUGAAUCCCGGCCCCCGGACGUGCGAUGUGUCGUCUGACCUGGAAAAGCAGUGAUGAUAGACCGGUCCCGCGCAACGUGGCCCCGUGAACCGUGUCAGGCGGGGAACCGAGCAGCACUAAGCGGCAAGCCGCGUGUGCCGUGGGGUUACUGUUCUUGAGCCGGCUGUCCAGGUAACGGGCAUACCGCGCGCUUCAAAGGCCGGUGUGCGG
rfam:Ruminococcaceae bacterium D16 genomic scaffold acsPy-supercont2.1, whole genome shotgun sequence.